rnacentral:rRNA from 1 species
GACGAACGCUGGCGGCGUGCCUAAUACAUGCAAGUAGAACGCACAGUUUAUACCGUAGCUUGCUACACCAUAAACUGUGAGUUGCGAACGGGUGAGUAACGCGUAGGUAACCUGCCUGGUAGCGGGGGAUAACUAUUGGAAACGAUAGCUAAUACCGCAUAAUAUUAAUUAUUGCAUGAUAAUUGAUUGAAAGAUGCAAUUGCAUCACUACCAGAUGGACCUGCGUUGUAUUAGCUAGUAGGUGAGGUAACGGCUCACCUAGGCGACGAUACAUAGCCGACCUGAGAGGGUGGUCGGCCACACUGGGACUGAGACACGGCCCAGACUCCUACGGGAGGCAGCAGUAGGGAAUCUUCGGCAAUGGACGAAAGUCUGACCGAGCAACGCCGCGUGAGUGAAGAAGGUUUUCGGAUCGUAAAGCUCUGUUGUAAGAGAAGAACGGGUGUGAGAGUGGAAAGUUCACACUGUGACGGUAUCUUACCAGAAAGGGACGGCUAACUACGUG